rnacentral:hammerhead_ribozyme from 1 species
AUCCAGCUGGUGAGUCCCAAAUAAAACGAAACCCGUGUUCUGGAU